GGUCUUAUAGUCAAAAAAUGAUUUUAAAUUGCAAAUUUAAAGGUAAAGUAAUUUUAAGGCUU
rnacentral:tRNA from 2 species